AAGCUCGUAGUUGAAUUUCGGGUAUUUGUUGCUAGCUGGUCUCUAUGGCCAUGUUGGUUAACAGAUCCUCACUUGCUGGACGGCUGGCGAUGAUCUUUAUCGAUUGUCGUCAGUUGCCAGAACGUUUACUUUGAGAAAAUUAGAGUGCUAAAAGCAGGCUCACGCCUAAAUAUAUUGCAUGGAAUAAUGAAAUAAGAUCUCGAUUUUAUUUCGUUGGUUUUAGAAGUUGAGAUAAUGAUUAAUAGGGAUAUUGGG
rnacentral:rRNA from 1 species